GACGAACGCUGGCGGCGUGCUUAACACAUGCAAGUCGAACGGAAAGGCCUCUUUCGGGGGGUACUCGAGUGGCGAACGGGUGAGUAACACGUGAGUAACCUGCCCUUGACUUUGGGAUAACUUCAGGAAACUGGGGCUAAUACCGGAUAGGAGCUCCUGCUGCAUGGUGGGGGUUGGAAAGUUUCGGCGGUUGGGGAUGGACUCGCGGCGUAUCAGCUUGUUGGUGGGGUAGUGGAUUACCAAGGCGUUGACGGGUAGCCGGCCUGAGAGGGUGACCGGCGACAUUGGGACUGAGAUACGGCCCAGACUCCGACGGGAGGCAGCAGUGGGGAAUCUUGCACAAUGGGUGGAAGCCUGAUGCAGAAACGCCGCGUGCGGGAUGACGGCCUUAGGGUUGUAAAACGCUUUCGCUCAUGACGAAGCUUUGUGUGACGGUAGUGGGUAAAGAAGCACCGGCUAACUACGUG
rnacentral:rRNA from 1 species